CCUACGGGGGGCAGCAGUCGAGAAUCAUUCACAAUGGGGGAAACCCUGAAGCAGCAACGCCGCGUGGAGGAUGAAGGUUUUCGGAUUGUAAACUCCUUUUGUUAGAGAAGAUAAUGACGGUAUCUAACGAAUAAGCACCGGCUAACUCCGUGCCAGCAGCCGCGGUAAUACGGAGGGUGCAAGCGUUACUCGGAAUCACUGGGCGUAAAGAGGGCGUAGGCGGGAUAGCAAGUCAGAUGUGAAAUCCUAUGGCUUAACCAUAGAACUGCAUUUGAAACUGUUAUUCUAGAGUAUGGGAGAGGUAGGUGGGAUUCUUGGUGUAGGGGUAAAAUCCGUAGAGAUCAAGAGGAAUACUCAUUGCGAAGGCGACCUGCUAGAACAUAACUGACGCUGAUGCGCGAAAGCGUGGGGAGCAAACAGGAUUAGAUACCCGGGUAGUC
rnacentral:rRNA from 1 species